GACGAACGCUGGCGGCGUGCUUAACACAUGCAAGUCGAACGGAAAGGCCCUGCUUUUGGGGGGUGCUCGAGUGGCGAACGGGUGAGUACCACGUGAGUAACCUGCCCUUGACUUUGGGAUAACUUCAGGAAACUGGGGCUAAUACCGGAUAGGAGCUCCUGCUGCAUGGUGGGGGUUGGAAAGUUUCGGCGGUUGGGGAUGGACUCGCGGCUUAUCAGCUUGUUGGUGGGGUAGUGGCUUACCAAGGCUUUGACGGGUAGCCGGCCUGAGAGGGUGACCGGCCACAUUGGGACUGAGAUACGGCCCAGACUCCGACGGGAGGCAGCAGUGGGGGAUAUUGCACAAUGGGCGGAAGCCUGAUGCAGCAACGCCGCGUGCGGGAUGACGGCCUUCGGGUUGUAAACCGCUUUCGCCUGUGACGAAGCGUGAGUGACGGUAAUGGGUAAAGAAGCACCGGCUAACUACGUG
rnacentral:rRNA from 1 species